GAUGAACGCUAGCUACAGGCUUAACACAUGCAAGUCGAGGGGCAGCACGAGGUAGCAAUACUGAGGUGGCGACCGGCGCACGGGUGAGUAACACGUAUCCAACCUACCAUUUACUCUUGGAUAGCCUUCUGAAAAGGAGAUUAAUACAAGAUAGCAUCACGAGAAUUCAUGUUCACGUGAUUAAAGAAUUUCGGUAAAUGAUGGGGAUGCGUUCCAUUAGAUAGUAGGCGGGGUAACGGCCCACCUAGUCUACGAUGGAUAGGGGUUCUGAGAGGAAGGUCCCCCACACUGGUACUGAGACACGGACCAGACUCCUACGGGAGGCAGCAGUGAGGAAUAUUGGUCAAUGGACGAGAGUCUGAACCAGCCAAGUCGCGUGAAGGAUGAAGGUUCUAUGGAUUGUAAACUUCUUUUAUAUGGGAAUAAAAAGUGUUACGUGUAGCAUAUUGCAUGUACCAUAUGAAUAAGGAUCGGCUAACUCCGUGCCAGCCGCCGCGGUAAAAC
rnacentral:rRNA from 1 species